UACGUAGGGCGCAAGCGUUGUCCGGAAUUAUUGGGCGUAAAGAGCUCGUAGGCGGCUUGUCACGUCGAUUGUGAAAGCCCGAGGCUUAACCUCGGGUCUGCAGUCGAUACGGGCUAGCUAGAGUGUGGUAGGGGAGAUCGGAAUUCCUGGUGUAGCGGUGAAAUGCGCAGAUAUCAGGAGGAACACCGGUGGCGAAGGCGGAUCUCUGGGCUAUUACUGACGCUGAGGAGCGAAAGCGUGGGGAGCGAACAGG
rnacentral:rRNA from 1 species